GUGCUCACUUCAGCAGCACAUAUACUAAAAUUGCAAUGAUGCAGAGAAGAUUAGCAUGGCCCCUGCACAAGGAUGACUCACAGAUUCGCGAAGCAUUCCAUAUUUUU
ensembl:snRNA U6 U6 spliceosomal RNA